AUUCAGCUGACAGGUCCCAAAUAGGACGAAACUUGGGUUCUGGAU
rfam:Schistosoma rodhaini strain Burundi genome assembly, scaffold: SROB_scaffold0001239